AAUGGAGUUAAGAUGACAGCCAAGCCACCCUCAAAUUCGUGAAAAGCACCUAGUAUAAAAGAUGAAGAUCAGUGAUUCCUCAGCAUACCUGAACACCGCAGAAUGAGGCAGUUGGUUGCGACCAAACCUCGCCCCGUUGAAGCUAACAUUGAUUUCAGCGGGGCCGGGUAUUCCCUGCGUGAGCAGG